rnacentral:lncRNA from 13 species
UUUCCGAGGCUGGUCUCAAACUGCUGGCCUCAAGCAGUCCUCCUGCCUUGGCUUCCCAAAUUGCUGGAAUUGUAAGCAUGAGCCACCAUGUCUGGCCUCUGCUAGCCCUAUGUUCUCUAGAGUUCUCUUUCCUUUUGUAGCCAAUCUCUCAUAUGGUGUUCCCUUGUUAUAUAAUUAAUUUUUUUUACUUUAAAUUUUACCAGUUUAAACUUUGGGUGAUUUUUGUCUUUUGAUUGGACUUUGACAAAUACAGAACUGAUGCUAGGAAGGGUUCUGGGAGAAAGACCCACACAAAUCGGAUCGGCAUAGGUUUGGUUAUCCAAGGCGUAGCAUUGAGCUCCUUGUCAAUGGGAAAUGGGAUGCUGGUGAUUUUUAGGAAGUGACCUCAUAAUGUUUCAAGCUACCACUUCCUGUUGAUUGUGAUGAAAUGCCAGCUGAGACACAUGCCUUAGGAGCUAAAUGGCUUCUGUACUUGACCACUAUGAAGACUGGUGUGGAGAGGGUCCUUUUGGAUGCAGUGGAGCAGGGGCACCUAAUCCCUGAAUCACAGGCCUGUACUUGGCCACACAGCAAGAGGCUGGAGCACAGCGAUGUGAUCUUGGCUCACUGCAGUCUCAACCUCCCGGGCUUAAGCUAGCCUCCUGCCUCAGCCUCUGGGGUAGCUGAGGUAUGACCACAGGUAUGAGCCACUACACCCAACUAAUAUUUUGUGUUUUGUAGAGAUGUGGUUUUACCACAUUGCUCAGUCUGAUCUUAAACUCCUGGGCUCAAGACAUCCACCUACCUUAGACUUCUAAAGUUUUGAGAUUAUAGGCAGCAGCCAGCAUGCCUGGUUCUGUUUUUUUUGGUACUGGUUUAUUUUGAAGGCCUCCAAUUGUCUUCCUGACUUCUAGGCUUGCUGACUUCAGCCUAUUCACUGAAGCCAGAGGAAUUUUUCUAAAAGGCAAAUUUGGGUCAAAAUGGUUCUUGAUUAAAACCUGCUGGUGACUGCCCAUUGCCUUUAAGAUAAAAUCAAACUAAUUUGGCCACAGGGCCUGGUAAGAGCUGGCCUCGGUUUACCUUUCCAGUUUUAUCCUGCACCACCCUUCCCAUAUCCUACCCUCCAGCCACAUGGCAUUUCAGUUUCUUUGGGGGACUUUGCUGGUGUCCUUCUUCAGGAAACCCUCCUCUACCCUCAUCAUCACUCUUUGACUCUC